AGAGGAAGUCCGGUGCGAAUCCGGCGCGGUCCCGCCACUGUCACCGGGGAGCGUUCCUCCAGCGACGGCCACGGUCCGCCGCGCGGAUGCCCGCAGGGCCGCCGCGUACGGGCUGGAAGGCCGGGGGAAACGCCGAUCCGGGAGCCAGGAGACUC
rnacentral:ncRNA from 1 species